rnacentral:rRNA from 1 species
GAUGAACGCUGGCGGCGUGCCUAAUACAUGCAAGUCGAGCGAACAGAUGAGGAGCUUGCUCCUCUGACGUUAGCGGCGGACGGGUGAGUAACACGUGGAUAACCUACCUAUAAGACUGGGAUAACUUCGGGAAACCGGAGCUAAUACCGGAUAAUAUAUUGAACCGCAUGGUUCAAUAGUGAAAGACGGUUUUGCUGUCACUUAUAGAUGGAUCCGCGCCGCAUUAGCUAGUUGGUAAGGUAACGGCUUACCAAGGCAACGAUGCGUAGCCGACCUGAGAGGGUGAUCGGCCACACUGGAACUGAGACACGGUCCAGACUCCUACGGGAGGCAGCAGUAGGGAAUCUUCCGCAAUGGGCGAAAGCCUGACGGAGCAACGCCGCGGGAGUGAUGAAGGUCUUCGGAUCGUAAAACUCUGUUAUUAGGGAAGAACAAAUGUGUAAGUAACGAUGCACGUCUUGACGGUACCUAAUCAGAAAGCCACGGCGAACUACGU